rnacentral:rRNA from 1 species
CCCUUAGAUGUUCUGGGCCGCACGCGCGCUACACUGAAGGGAUCAACGUGUUCUCCCUUUCCGAGAGGAACGGGUAACCCGCUGAACCCCCUUCGUGGUAGGGAUCGGGGCUUGCAAUUAUUCCCCGUGAACCAGGAAUUCCCAGUAAGCGCAAGUCAUAAGCUUGCGUUGAUUACGUCCCUGCCCUUUGUACACACCGCCCGUCGCUCCUACCGAUUGAGUGGUCCGGUGAGGCUUUGGGAUCUGAGCGGAAAGAGCGUUUCGCUGUUUCUGCUCGGAAAACUCAGUCGAACCUUAUCAUUUAGAGGAAGGAGAAGUCGUAACA